rnacentral:lncRNA from 1 species
AAACGAUUACGAUACAACUACGUAACAGAACAAUCCGUUGGGUGCGGUGUCACUUUCGCGCAUUCGAUAACGAAUGGAAUCUCUCAAACUAUAAUGACGUCAUUGAAGAGGCAGACGAAUGUUGUUCAAAGAAGCAAGAUGGUGGAUGGAGAUUUUUCCGAUCUGUUAGUUUUCAGGAGUCGUCGUAGCUGUUGUACGCGGAUCAAUAAAUCGUCUGAUUGGCUGUUACUUCACCAGUUUAGUCAGUGUUUAGCUAGCUAUGAACAGAGACGGAUAAAUCCAUUGUCAGUAAAGUAGUCUCUUGUGGCAGAUCGACCUACAUUAGAUAUAUACGAGAGCUUAUUAAAUAGAAAGGGAAAUUUUCUCAAUUUUGUGGAAGUUUCUGAAUGGAACUGACAAAAUGAAGAAUCUGGGUCAAUAAUGAGUUUCUGUUGUCUGCUCAGAUGGGUUAGUUCCUGUAUUGGCGGAGUACAAAAUAAGAGUCUAGAAAAACUGUGCUCAGCUGCAGCUUUAGUUACAGUGCCUGAGGCAGUUGCCUGAUCACCUCACCUAUGGAGCCGGUCUUGAAUACGACUGACUCACAUGCUAGAACUUGUAUGAGUCAAAAUGAGUCGUGACAUCGUGUGCUACCCUUGUUUACCUCUCUCGAGACAAUGCCAUGCAUAAGCGUCAGUAUGUCAGUUUGCUAUCAUUCAGUGAACAAUGUGCACUAUAACUCUGAAUUUUCAUACAAUUUUGUGUUUUUCCACAUAAAUUUUUAAUAAAUUCAUUAAUCACGAGUUCUAAGAAAAUGAAUGAAAAGAGCCAAGCAACAAAGAAAAUGGUUAGGAUCACCAUGGAGGUGAAAAAAAGAGAUUGUUGAAAAGUAUGAAAGUGGCAUGCAUAUCUGGGACUUAGCUGUUGCAUAUC